UACGUAGGUGGCAAGCGUUGUCCGGAUUUACUGGGCGUAAAGAGCGCGCAGGCGGUCGUUCAAGUCGCGUGUGAAAGCCCCCGGCUCAACUGGGGAGGGUCACGCGAUACUGAUCGACUGGAAGGCAGGAGAGGGUAGUGGAAUUCCCGGUGUAGUGGUGAAAUGCGUAGAUAUCGGGAGGAACACCCGUAGCGAAGGCGGCCACCUGGGCCAACCCUGACGCUGAGGCGCGAAGGCCAGGGGAGCGAACGGG
rnacentral:rRNA from 1 species